rnacentral:rRNA from 1 species
AUUGAACGCUGGCGGCAGGCCUAACACAUGCAAGUCGAACGCGUGGCGGACGGGUGAGUAAUGUCUGGGAAACUGCCUGCGGGAGGGGGAUAACUACUGGACACGGUAGCUAAUACCGCAUAACAUCAGAUGUGUCCAGAUGGGUUUAGCUCGUGGGUGGGGUAACGGCUCACCAAGGCGACGAUCCCUGGCUGGGCUGAGAGGAUGACCAGCUACACUGGAACGGAAACACGGUCCAGACUCCUACGGGAGGGAGCGUUGGGGAGUAUUGCACAAUGGGAGCAGGCCUGAUGCGGCCAUGCCGCGUGUAUGAAGGAGGCCUUCGGGUUGUAAAGUAAUUUCAGCGGGGAGGCGUUACCCGCAGAAGAAGCACCGGCUAACUCCGUGCCAGCAGCCGCGGUAAUUC